rnacentral:rRNA from 1 species
GACGAACGCUGGCGGCGUGCUUAACACAUGCAAGUCGAACGAAACAUCCGUGCCAGAUUUUUUUGCUCUGAAGUUGCACAUGACUGAGUCGCGGACGUGUGAGUAACGCGACGGUAACAUGCCUUGUACUAGGGGAUAGUAGUAGGAAAUGGCUGGUCAUACUGCAUAAGCGCACAAUGUUGCAUGACACGGUGUGAAAAACACUUGUGGUAUAGGAUGGAGGCGCGUCUGAUUAGCGAGACGGUGGGGUUACAGCACACCAAGGCGACGAGCAGUAGCCGAGCGGAGAGGGUGACCGGCCACAUUGGGACUAAGACACGGCCCAGACUCCUACGGGAGGGAGCAGUAGGGAAUAUUGCACAAGGAAGGAUACUCUGAUGCAGCGGCGCGGCGUGAGUGAGGAAUUGAUUCGUUAUGUAAAGCUGUAUCAGCAGGGGAGAUAGUGACGGUACCUGGCUAAGAAGCACCGGCUAAAUACGUG